GACGAAGGUGGCGAGCGUUACUCGGAAUUACUAGGCGUAAAGCGUGGGUAGGCUGUUCGGUAAGUCUGUUGUGGAAGCUCCCGGCUCAACCGGGAGAGGUCAAUGGAUACUGCCGAGCUUGAAUGUGGGAGAGGUCACUGGAAUUCCUGGUGUAGCGGUGAAAUGCGUAGAGAUCAGGAGGAACACCAAUGGCGAAAGCAGGUGACUGGACCACUAUUGACGCUGAGCCACGAAAGCUAGGGGAG
rnacentral:rRNA from 1 species